rnacentral:rRNA from 1 species
CCUACGGGAGGCAGCAGUGAGGAAUAUUGGUCAAUGGACGUAAGUCUGAACCAGCCAAGCCGCGUGCGGGAUGAAGGCUCUAUGGAUUGUAAACUUCUUUUAUACGGGAAUAAACUGCGGUACGCGUCUCUUUCUGUAUGUAUCUUACGAAUAAGGAUCGGCUAACUCCGUGCCAGCAGCCGCGGUAAUACGGAGGAUCCGAGCGUUAUCCGGAUUUAUUGGGUUUAAAGGGUGCGUAGGCGGUCUUUUAAGUUAGCGGUGAAAUCCCGUGGCUCAACCACGGAAUUGCCGUUGAUACUGUGAGGCUAGAGAGUAGUGGAGGUAGGCGGAAUGGGUGGUGUAGCGGUGAAAUGCUUAGAGAUCACACAGAACCCCGAUUGCGAAGGCAGCCUGCCAAGCCAUGUCUGACGCUGAGGCACGAAAGCGUGGGGAUCAAACAGGAUUAGAUACCCUGGUAGUC